rnacentral:rRNA from 1 species
CUACGGAGGGGGUUAGCGUUGUUCGGAAUUACUGGGCGUAAAGCGCACGUAGGCGGACUGGAAAGUUGGGGGUGAAAUCCCGGGGCUCAACCCCGGAACUGCCUCCAAAACUUCCAAUCUAGGGAUCGAGAGAGGUGAGUGGAAUUCCAAGUGUAGAGGUGAAAUUCGUAGAUAUUUGGAGGAACACCAGUGGCGAAGGCGGCUCACUGGCUCGAUACUGACGCUGAGGUGCGAAAGCGUGGGGAGCAAACAGGAUUAGAAACCCGUGUAGUCC